GACGAACGCUGGCGGCGUGCUUAACACAUGCAAGUCGAACGCUGAAGCUCAGCUUUUGUUGGGUGGAUGAGUGGCGAACGGGUGAGUAACACGUGAGUAACCUGCCCCCUUCUUUGGGAUAACGCCCGGAAACGGGUGCUAAUACUGGAUAUUCACUGGUCUUCGCAUGGGGGUUGGUGGAAAGGGUUUUUCUGGUGGGGGAUGGGCUCGCGGCCUAUCAGCUUGUUGGUGGGGUGAUGGCCUACCAAGGCUUUGACGGGUAGCCGGCCUGAGAGGGUGACCGGGCACAUUGGGACUGAGAUACGGCCCAGACUCCUACGGGAGGCAGCAGUGGGGAAGAUUGCACAAUGGGCGCAAGCCUGAUGCAGCGACGCCGCGUGAGGGAUGGGGGCCUUCGGGUUGUGAACCUCUUUCGCUCAUGGUCAAGCCGCAACAAUGGUUGUGGUGAGGGUAGUGGGUAAAGAAGCGCCGGCUAACUACGUG
rnacentral:rRNA from 1 species